rnacentral:lncRNA from 13 species
GCUGCUCUGAGGAGGCUCCUUGAGCUUUUUGUUAAGGGAGGAAAUUCUGUGUGAAUACAGACUACGAGAAGCUGACCUUUGGCUCAGGGACCAGACUGUCCAUCCUGCCCAAAGUCACUCCAUCUCCCUCAGUCUACAGGCUGACCUCUAAAGAUGACCAGGAUUUGGAAAUGUGCCUUAUCACAGAUUACUCCCCUGAAAAGCUCGCUCUUAACUCGGCUGAGCAGCACACAUCCGCUGUCGUGGAGGUGGCAACUGCUGAGAACCACGAGGAAUCCAGCUACCUGUCAACCUACUGGGCCAAGAGGGAUGAGAUGCAGUGUGGUGCCAGCCACGAGGGCUUUGGAGAACUGGAGGGCGAGGAUCCUGAGAGUGGUGCCAGCACUGUCUGUGUCACGGGGCUGUCCAUGCACUUCAGGACAGAUGAACACUUGAACACACUGUCUUUAUCACAGCUGGGCCUCAAAAUAGUUUUAAUGAAAGGAAUAAUUUUUAAUGUGCUCAUGACGAUGCUUAUGUGGAAGAAAAAAAAAGACUGAAAGUAACCAGGUGGUGCAGUCCUGAAGUACCAAAACCAUCUGCUUUGAGAGACCAUUGUGAGCAAGAGGGAGCACAGGGACAUUCCUUGUGCAAGGGACAUCACCUGCUGUUCUUACAUAUCACACCAGCCAUUAUAUUCUAAGUUGCUUUAUUUGCAUUGCUAUAAAAGUACUCAAAACGAAACAUUUCCAGCAUUCUGCCCUCCAGAUGCCUGGGUCAUUCACCAUACAGCGUCUCUUUUGCAUGAAGCAGACUUUGCUAUAACUAUACAUUGCCAAACAUCGCUUGUUACUUGCAUUAAAAUGACAACUUCUGCCUGGAGCAGUGCUGUUUGUUAAAAACUGCAGGCUAAAUAUCACCUGAACAUGAUUUUUUCCUAUUUUGGUAGCUUUAGGGUAUUCAUGUCUCUUAGGGUUCACCCCCCAGACACCUUUUCAGGUGUAAAUGAAACGCUUUGAAAAACAAAGGGAGACUUACUCAGGAUGCACUGUCCUGCCACCCUUUUCUAGAUCAGAGCAAGAUACCCCUUUUUUUUCCUCAAGGAUAUGCUGCAGGUCUCCCGGAAGUCCCAAGUUCAGUGAAACUGUCACCUCAUUAUCACAGAAAAGAAAAAAAAAAAGAAAAAGAAUAUUUGGGUUUUUUUUAAGUGUAUCUGACUGUAACAGCUUCUUAAUUUAAAUCAGUUUAAGAUUUGGCUUUGUGCUUAGUAAAAAUACAAACCACUUUUGUUCUUUUUGUUUACUUCUAACAACCUGAGAUUUCCCAAGUUCAUUGUAUUACAAUUGCAUAAAAAUAUACUGAAAUAUUUACCCUUCCAUGCGUGCCCACCUUGGAACAGUGCUUGUUGUGAUAUCUGUAUGCUGCUAAUUCAUGAACUGUACUGGCACCCACAAGAAGUCUUGGCACUUCUUUAUGCUGUUAUCAAACAAUUCUUACAAAAAAAUGAGAAACGUGUUUGUCUUUUGUAUUUGUUGUUCGAGGCAUUGGUUCACCCUUUCAGCUGAGCUUUGGGGUGGAGGAGGGAAGGGGUUGGAGGGUGGGAACAAAGUCCUUCUCCAGGACAUCUGUGCUGUGUCCCUGUGAGGACAGUGGGGAGGGAGAGAAAGGGGGGAGCCCCUCUCCCCCAAGGGCAGACUCUGUGCUGGGUGAAGACAACAUAAAACAUGGCUUGGCCACAGUGAGGAGGGCCCAGGUCCCUGGAGGCAGAUUGCUGCUGCUGUGGGGGACACAGGACCCUGAGGUGUCCUGUCCCCAAGUCCCACUGCAGCACAAGGCACCUGCUUUGCAGUGAGGACACCAAUGGACCCUCUUUGCCUCUAGGUUCUGUCUGUCCUGGCAAGUCUGGAAGGGAAAUGUUCUCCGUUUGUGACAUCAAUUUCUCCAACGUCUUCUGAAGCCCCAGAGGUUUCUCUGUGGGGGAGAAAUGAGAAGUAUGCUCUGACAGAAACACACCCUCCCUGCAGAGCUUGAACCCUGCCUGUACCUCACACCAAUGCCCAAACCCAGUGGCAGGAAAAGCCUCACUGGAUCAGUGGGGGUGAUUGUCCCUCACCCAGCUGGACUCACAGACUUCACAAAGAGCUGGUUUGGAAAGGGUCAUGAGUCAAACACUUUUAGCCAAAAGCCCUGGUGCUUCAUGUGGGAGGACCAUGCCAGGAUCUGACCCCACACUGCUGAGCAGCAACACCACAAAGCCUCCCAGGUCUCCUGCCUUGGUCCUGCACCUGACCACUGAGCAGGUGACCUGUCACAGGGUGACAGAGUUACUGACCCCUCCUGCCAAGGAGCAGCUUUAAACUUUCCGUCUCUAUUGCCCUGAUUAUUUUAUAGUACAGA